UGAAUACGAGAUGCUACGGCGUCGAAGCAGUCUAUGUCAUACUUCCAAGAAAAGCUCGCACUGUCAUAAACAAAUAAUGCCUGUACCAUAACCGACACAGGUGGGUAGGUAGAGUAUACUAAGGGGCGCGAGAUAACUCUCUCUAAGGAACUCGGCAAAAUGACUCCGUAACUUCGGGAGAAGGAGUGCCUUAUUUAUAAGGUUGCAAUAACAAGAUCCAAGCAACUGUUUAUCAAAAACACAGGUCUCCGCUAAGUCGUAAGACGAUGUAUGGGGGCUGACGCCUGCCCAGUGCCAGAAGGUUAAAGAAGUUGGUUAGCAUUCGCGAAGCUGAUAACUGAAGCCCUGGUGAACGGCGGCCGUAACAAUAACGGUCCUAAGGUAGCGAAAUUCCUUGUCGGGUAAGUUCCGACCCGCACGAAAGGCGUAAUGAUUUGGAUACUGUCUCGGAGAGGGGCUCGGUGAAAUAGACUUGUCUGUGAAGAUGCGGACUACCUGCACCAGGACAGAAAGACCCUAUGGAGCUUUACUGUAACUUGAGAUUGAAAUUGGACUUUACUUGCGCAGUAUAGGUGGGAGGCGUUGAUAAUAUUCUUGCGGGAUUAUUUGAGCCAUCAGUGAGAUACCACUCUUGUAAUGUUAGAUUUCUAACUUUGUAUCAUUAUCUGGUCAAAGGACAGUUUCAGGCGGGCAGUUUGACUGGGGCGGUCGCCUCCUAAACGGUAACGGAGGCGCACAAAGGUUUCCUCUGAACGGGUAGAAAUCGUAUCUAGAGUGUAAAGGCAUAAGGAAGCUUGACUGUGAGACCUACAAGUCGAGCAGGGACGAAAGUCGGUCUUAGUGAUCUGACGGUGCUGAGUGGAAAGGCCGUCACUCAACGGAUAAAAGUUACUCUAGGAUAACAGGCUGAUCUCCCCCAAGAGUUCACAUCGACGGGGAGGUUUGGCACCUCGAUGUCGGCUCAUCGCAUCCUGGGGCGGUAGUACGUCCUAAGGGUUGGGCUGUUCGCCCAUGAAAGCGGUACGCGAGCUGGGUUCAGAACGUCGUGAGACAGUUCGGUCCAUAUCCGGUGUAGGCGUUAGAAUAUUGAGAGGAGCCUUCUUUAGUACGAGAGGACCGAGAAGGACAUACCUCUGGUGUACCAGUUAUCGUGCCAACGGUAAACGCUGGGUAGCUAUGUAUGGAGUGGAUAACCGCUGAAAGCAUCUAAGUGGGAAGCCCACCUCAAGAUAAGUAUUCU
rnacentral:rRNA from 1 species